rnacentral:rRNA from 1 species
UGGGGAAUUUUGGACAAUGGGCGCAAGCCUGAUCCAGCCAUGCCGCGUGCGGGAAGAAGGCCUUCGGGUUGUAAACCGCUUUUGUCAGGGAAGAAAUCUUCUGAGUUAAUACCUCGGGAGGAUGACGGUACCUGAAGAAUAAGCACCGGCUAACUACGUGCCAGCAGCCGCGGUAAUACGUAGGGUGCAAGCGUUAAUCGGAAUUACUGGGCGUAAAGCGUGCGCAGGCGGUUUUGUAAGACAGAGGUGAAAUCCCCGGGCUCAACCUGGGAACUGCCUUUGUGACUGCAAGGCUUGAGUGCGGCAGAGGGGGGAUGGAAUUCCGCGUGUAGCAGUGAAAUGCGUAGAUAUGCGGAGGAACACCGAUGGCGAAGGCAAUCCCCUGGGCCUGCACUGACGCUCAUGCACGAAAGCGUGGGGAGCAAACAGGAUUAGAUAGCCCCUGGUAGUCCACGCCCUAAACGAUGUCAACUGGUUGUUGGGAAGGUUCCUUCUCAGUAACGUAGCUAACGCGUGAAGUUGACCGCCUGGGGAGUACGGCCGCAAGGUUGAAACUCAAAUGAAUUGACGGGGUCAUAGC